GCCCAGUGAUGAGACCAAGGCGAAUACGAGCUCACUGAAUGAGAGUUGGGUUUUUCUUCUUGCCUUGACUGGCAGGUAAUCUUGGCAGUGCAGGGGAGGAUUCCUGCUCUGCUGUAAGGGCCUGCCUACAGUGACUUGGCUCAACCCAAACUAUUCCUCUACAGCCACAGAGGAGUAAUUAGUUGGGAUGACGCUGACAGUGUGUGUGUGUGUGUGUGUGUGUGUGUGUGUGUGUGUGUAGUGUUUGUGGUGUGUGUGAAGGGCAAGAAGUUCACCCAGCUCUCCUUGACCUUCAGUGAGCAGUGAGUUUUCUUCUUUGGUAAUCUGAGGGCA